GAUGAACGCUGGCGGCGUGCCUAAUACAUGCAAGUCGAGCGAACAGACGAGGAGCUUGCUCCUCUGUCGUUAGCGGCGGACGGGUGUGUAACACGUGGAUAACCUACCUAUAAGACUGGGAUAACUUCGGGAAACGGGAGCUAAUACCGGAUAAUAUAUUGAACCGCAUGGUUCAAUAGUGAAAGUCGGUUUUGGUGUCACUUAUAGAUGGAUCCGCGCCGCAUUAGCUAGUUGGUAAGGUAACGGGUUACCAAGGCAACGCUGCGUGGCCGACCUGAGAGGGGGGUCGGCCACACGAGAGCUGAGACACGGUCCAGACUCCUACGGGAGGCAGCAGAAUGCAAUCGUCCGCAAUAGGCGAAAGCCUUACGGAGCAACGCCGCGUGAGUGAUGAAAGUCUUCCGAUCGUAAAGCUCGGUUAUUAGGUAAGAACAAAUGUGUAAGUAACUAUGCACGUCGUGACGGUACCUAGUCAGAAAGCCACGGCUAACUACGUG
rnacentral:rRNA from 1 species